rnacentral:rRNA from 1 species
UAGGGAAUCUUCGGCAAUGGGGGGAACCCUGACCGAGCAACGCCGCGUGAGUGAAGAAGGUUUUCGGAUCGUAAAGCUCUGUUGUUAAGGAAGAACGAGUGUGAGAAUGGAAAGUUCAUACUGUGACGGUACUUAACCAGAAAGGGACGGCUAACUACGUGCCAGCAGCCGCGGUAAUACGUAGGUCCCGAGCGUUGUCCGGAUUUAUUGGGCGUAAAGCGAGCGCAGGCGGUUAGAUAAGUCUGAAGUUAAAGGCAGUGGCUCAACCAUUGUAGGCUUUGGAAACUGUUUAACUGGAGUGCAGAAGGGGGGAGUGGAAUUCCAUGUGUAGCGGUGAAAUGCGUAGAUAUAUGGAGGAACACCGGUGGCGAAAGCGGCUCUCUGGUCUGUAACUGACGCGGAGGCUCGAAAGCGUGGGGAGCGAACAGG